rnacentral:lncRNA from 1 species
AGAAAUAUUUCCACCUAAUUGAUGGAUGUAUCUGCUAAGAAGACCAUGACUACCAACAGGCCUGCGCUUGCCAAGAGUCACCACCAGCCUCUGACCCCUCAGAAAGCCAACCCCACUAAUUUACUGAUGCCCUAAGGGGAAGUCGGCCCCAGAAGAUAAGAAAAGGACCCUGAGAGCCAUCUAGAACACAUGCCAGGAAGACUCCUUGAAAUUAUUACCAAAUUUCGAAUUCUCCAAAAAGAAUUUCAAAUAACAAAAACAAUGAUUGAGAACUCAACAAUUUCACACAAAAAAUAUUAAAGCCCCAGA